CGCUGUUGGUUGCUUGGAUGAGCUUGAGGUAUUCAAUUUUAAUCUUUGCUCUAGCUCACAGAGCUCAAAGCAGACUUUCAGUAUCAGGAAACCAACAUGAGAGUAAAGAUGAACCAAAUGGAGAAAUCACACAAAGAGUCUAUGGAGCAUCAGCAGUCCAAGAACAGGGAGCUGAUGAAACAAGUGGCUGCUCUAUCUAAAG